CGGAUAGGCAAUUUUUCCUGGAAUGGUUUUUUGUUUAAAUGUUUUUUCGCCUAAGGAUGGGUCUGCGGCCGAUUAGGUAGUUGGUUAGGUAAUGGCUUACCAAGCCGUUGAUCGGUACGGGUUGUGAGAGCAAGAGCCCGGAGAUGGAACCUGAGACAAGGUUCCAGGCCCUACGGGGUGCAGCAGGCGCGAAACCUCCGCAAUGUGAGAAAUCGCGACGGGGGGAUCCCAAGUGCCAUUCUUAACGGGAUGGCUUUUCAUUAGUGUAAAGAGCUUUUGGAAUAAGAGCUGGGCAAGACCGGUGCCAGCCGCCGCGGUAACACCGGCAGCUCUAGUGGUAACAAUUUUUAUUGGGCCUAAAGCGUCCGUAGCCGGUUUAAUAAGUCUCUGGUGAAAUCCUGUAGCUUAACUGUGGGAAUUGCUGGAGAUACUAUUAGACUUGAGACCGGGAGAGGUUAGAGGUACUCCCAGGGUAGAGGUGAAAUUCUGUAAUCCUGGGAGGACCGCCUGUUGCGAAGGCGUCUAACUGGAACGGUUCUGACGGUGAGGGACGAAAGUUAGGGGCGCGAACCGGAUUAGAUACCCGGGUAGUCCUAACUGUAAACGAUGCGGACUUGGUGUUGGGGUGGCUUUGAGCUGCUCCAGUGCCGAAGGGAAGCUGUUAAGUCCGCCGCCUGGGAAGUACGGUCGCAAGACUGAAACUUAA
rnacentral:rRNA from 1 species